GAGUGCGAGCAUACAAGCACUAAAGCACCGGAUCCUAUUAAAACCCCACUGUUAUGCGUGCUUAGGUGAGAGUAGUACUAGGAUGGAUGACCCCCUAGGAAGACCUCGUGUUGCACUCC
rnacentral:rRNA from 15 species